CGGCGGACGGGUGAGUAACGCGUGGGAAACUACCCAGUAGUGGGGGACAACGGUUGGAAACGACUGCUAAUACCGCAUACGCUCUACGGAGGAAAGGGGGCUUCGGCUCUCGCUAUUGGAUGUGCCUGCGUGUGAUUAGCUAGUUGGUGGGGUAAAGGCCUACCAAGGCAACGAUCUCUAGCUGGUCUGAGAGGAUGAUCAGCCACACUGGGACUGAGACACGGCCCAG
rnacentral:rRNA from 1 species